AGUUGUUUUAUUUUAUACCUACAUACACUUUUAUAAUAUAUAUUUAUUAGACCUAGUGUAUACUAAAAACUUAUGUUAUAUGAUAAUAGCUGAAAAAUACAAAAAUAAACAACUUGAUUAUACUCCACUGGUUUCGUUUGCUCUUCAUUAUGAUGCUAACAGUGAUAAAGUUUUCUAUAGAAGUGUGUCAGAGUUUUGUUAUACUAUCUCCAGAGUUUGAAGGUAAAUAUUACUUUAAUAAUAUAAACUACCUA